AUUGAACGCUGGCGGCAGGCCUAACACAUGCAAGUCGAGCGGAUGAAGGGAGCUUGCUCCUGGAUUCAGCGGCGGACGGGUGAGUAAUGCCUAGGAAUCUGCCUGGUAGUGGGGGAUAACGUCCGGAAACGGGCGCUAAUACCGCAUACGUCCUGAGGGAGAAAGUGGGGGAUCUUCGGACCUCACGCUAUCAGAUGAGCCUAGGUCGGAUUAGCUAGUUGGUGGGGUAAAGGCCUACCAAGGCGACGAUCCGUAACUGGUCUGAGAGGAUGAUCAGUCACACUGGAACUGAGACACGGUCCAGACUCCUACGGGAGGCAGCAGUGGGGAAUAUUGGACAAUGGGCGAAAGCCUGAUCCAGCCAUGCCGCGUGUGUGAAGAAGGUCUUCGGAUUGUAAAGCACUUUAAGUUGGGAGGAAGGGCAGUAAGUUAAUCCCUUGCUGUUUUGACGUUACCAACAGAAUAAGCACCGGCUAACUUCGU
rnacentral:rRNA from 1 species